rnacentral:sRNA from 1 species
GCUCAAUGGGAAGGAGACUUCCUGCUGGGGGAGGUAUGGGAGGGAGGGGGGAGAGGCAUGAGGAAAUCCAAGUGGCCUUGUACAUUUUUCUCUUUCAUCAUUAUCCAUAUCUUGAUUCUAGAACUUUAUUUUCUGGUGUCUCAGAAAGUUAAGAAACCAGUGUCUUCAAAAGUGAGAACCUUCAUUCAGACCCAUGCGUAUUAUUGGAUUAUUAUUUUUGGCUAUGUAAGGGAGCCUCAUUGACCCAUUUUUUUGUUUUAAAUUCUUAUUUAAAUGUCUGCAAUAAUGACAUUUUUGUAACUGGCCCUUGCUGGACACUGGAUCGGUGUGAACAUUCACUUCCUCCUGUGUAGUUGGACUACCUUCUGGAGCAAUUCUUUCCCUUCCUAAGGCUUUGCUGGAUCCCCGCCGCCCCGAGAUCCCAACAGAACAAAGCAGGUGAGACCCUCAUGGGCAGUGCUGAAGGCUCUGACCUUACAUAACUUAACCUCACUGAUUAAGCUUGGUUCUUCGUCUCCGUGUGCCUUCAUGCUGUGCUAGGGGCUGGGGAUGUAGCAGGGGGCAAGUCUGAAAAAGUCACCUGCCCUCAUGGAGCUUACAUGGACAAUAAAUACAUAAGAUAAACAAGUAAAAUAUAUACUAUGUUAGGUACUCAAAUGCUAAGCAGAGUAAAACAGGAAUGAGCUAGAAAGUGGGGAUGGGGAUGUGCGUGGGUGUAAUUUGAGAGGUGGCCUGGGAAAGCCCCUUUGAGAAGGUGCAUUUUGAGUGAAGGCCUGAAGGAGGUGAAGGAGCUAGCUGUGUAGAUACCUGAGGAAGAACUUUCUAGGCAGAGGGAACAGGCAAUGCAAAUCCCCUGAGAUCAUGUCUGGUGAGUUUGCGGAGGGCAACGCUAGGAAAUGAGAUCACUGAGGUAAUUCGGGCCAGACCAUGUGGGCAAGCCAAUAUCUUAUUCACUGUUGGUAUUGUUGUAUUAACAACCACCAUCUUGUUGGGUUUUCUUACCUCCAUCCUGAAUUUCUUUGCCUAGGGGCAUGAGGAAUGGAGAGGAGUGUGUUUUGGAGAAGUAUAUGAGAGAGAGGAGGUUAAAGCUAGGAAAAGACACAGGAUGAUAAUCAGGUUUCAGAGAAAUGGAGACUGAGAGGCACCCUGGAGUGGAGAGCAGGAAUUAGCUUAGUGGUUCAGUGUGUUGGCUUUAAAAUGGUCGGCUUUCCUCUUGUGGUGUGAAGUGCCAGUCAUCUGUAUGUUCUUUCUUUUCAGAUUUAGAACAAACUAGGAAUCUAGAUCUCAGUCUUACUCUCCAGAGAGCUUCCUUUCUUGUAGUCCUUCCUAACAUUCAGCUGCUAAAUUUUUAACUACCUAAUGCAAGCAGACCUCCUAGGAGAUUUGAGGCUAGAUAUGUAGCCUGGAAACCUCCCAGGACUCAGGAAGGGCAGCCAAGAGAUCCCUUUACAGCAGUGCUCAGACUGCCUGUCCCGGCUGGUGUUUUGCAGAGAGGAGAACUUAAUCCCGUAUUCUCCAGAUGUACAGAUACACGCAGAGCGAUUCAUCAACUAUAACCAGACAGUUUCUCGAAUGCGAGGUAUCUACACAGCUCCCUCGGGUCUGGAGUCCACUUGUUUGGUUGUGGCCUAUGGUUUGGACAUUUACCAAACUCGAGUCUACCCAUCCAAGCAGUUUGACGUUCUGAAGGAUGACUAUGACUACGUGUUAAUCAGUAGCGUCCUCUUUGGCCUGGUUUUUGCCACCAUGAUCACUAAGAGACUGGCACAGGUGAAGCUCCUGAAUCGGGCCUGGCGAUAAAGACCAAAGACUGUGCCUAAAAGUGGAGAGCCAGGGGAGUGUGGGUCAGAUAAGCAGCUACAGCUGCAGUUUGGUGGAUUGGUGGAGUAUGUGUGUGUGUCAGUGCUCAGCUGAGAACUGUAGGGAAGAAGAUGGAUGACCUUCACGCAGAACUCCUUUUGGGAUACACAUGAUGCAGAAAGGAUCCUACAUGGAGAGAGACAGAACUCUCUCAGCUGACACUCUCAGAGAUUCCUGAUGGGCUUUCCCUUGAAGUCCAAAGGCGUCUGCAAUUGUUUCCUUUCUUUGCCCAUCCAUGAAUGUUCUGUUUUGUUUUGUUUUUUUUAAUAAGAAUUCCGGCUGAUUUUUGUGAGGCCUGUUUAAAUUG